rnacentral:rRNA from 1 species
GUGCCAGCAGCCGCGGUAAUACGUAGGUGGCAAGCGUUGUCCGGAUUUACUGGGCGUAAAGAGCGCGCAGGCGGUCGUUUAAGUCGAAUGUGAAAGCCCCCGGCUCAACUGGGGAGGGUCAUUCGAUACUGAUCGACUUGAAGGCAGGAGAGGGAAGUGGAAUUCCGGGUGUAGUGGUGAAAUGCGUAGAUAUCCGGAGGAACACCAGUGGCGAAGGCGACUUCCUGGCCUGUUCUUGACGCUGAGGCGCGAAAGCUGGGGGAGCAAACGGGAUUAGAUACCCCGGUAGUCC